rnacentral:rRNA from 1 species
GACCCUGGUAGUCCACGCUGUAAACGAUGUCGACUUGGAGGUUGUGCCCUUGAGGCGUGGCUUCCGGAGCUAACGCGUUAAGUCGACCGCCUGGGGAGUACGGCCGCAAGGUUAAAACUCAAAUGAAUUGACGGGGGCCCGCACAAGCGGUGGAGCAUGUGGUUUAAUUCGAUGCAACGCGAAGAACCUUACCUACUCUUGACAUCCACGGAAUUCGCCAGAGAUGGCUUAGUGCCUUCGGGAACCGUGAGACAGGUGCUGCAUGGCUGUCGUCAGCUCGUGUUGUGAAAUGUUGGGUUAAGUCCCGCAACGAGCGCAACCCUUAUCCUUUGUUGCCAGCACGUAAUGGUGGGAACUCAAAGGAGACUGCCGGUGAUAAACCGGAGGAAGGUGGGGAUGACGUCAAGUCAUCAUGGCCCUUACGAGUAGGGCUACACACGUGCUACAAUGGCAUAUACAAAGAGAAGCGAACUCGCGAGAGCAAGCGGACCUCAUAAAGUAUGUCGUAGUCCGGAUUGGAGUCUGCAACUCGACUCCAUGAAGUCGGAAUCGCUAGUAAUCGUAGAUCAGAAUGCUACGGUGAAUACGUUCCCGGGCCUUGUACACACCGCCCGUCACACCAUGGGAGUGGGUUGCAAAAGAAGUAGGUAGCUUAAC